ACGCAUCAAAGAGAAAGGCUGAGGCAGAGGCUACUCUUCAGGCCUGGAAUAGAUAUAAAAUAUCCUUAAAAGGAGGAAUGUGAUAGACUCUAUUAAGGUCCCAUUGCCAAUUUUGUAUUGAUCAAAAUAAAAACAUAUUACAAUUGAGCCAUAAGGAAGAAAGAAUGCAAACUCACAUCCAUCCUGAAGAAGGCAAGAUGGAGAAUCUAGAGAAAUAAGGUCAAGGAGCUCAACUGCACUUUCUGCAAGAGUUAUGGACGGAUUUCUCCUACAGGCCAUUUCUAAACAUGGGAGAAAUAAGAGGGUGAUUGGGAACAGCCAGCACAGAGUGAUCAAGGGCAAAUUAUGCCCGAGCAACCUGAUUGCCUUCUGUGAUGAGAUGACUUGUUCAGUGGUGGAGGGAGGAGCACUGUAUGCUUUGAUUCUAGUAGGACUGUAUUCUUUGAUACAGUCUCCCAUUAUCCCCUUAAAGCCAAAUUAGUGAGAUAUGGAUUGUGUAAGUGGAUGAUAACAUGGGUCAAAAAUCAGCUGAGCCACUGAGCUCGAAGGGUGGUAAUCAACAAUGUGAAGCAGAACUGGUGACUGGUCGUACAAGUGGCAUCCCUCAAGGAUUCCUAGUGAAGAUAAAACUGUGUAAUAUCUUUAUUCAUGACCUGAAUGGUGGGAUGGAGUGCACUCUCAGCAAGUUUGUAGAUGCCAUUGGAGGGAGCAGCUGCUAUGCUAGGAGGACAGGGCUGCUGUUCACAGGGAUUUGUUCCAGAGAUGGGAAAAGCAGCCACAAACAAGACGGAGCAUGGGGAAUUCCUAUCAGAGAUAGAGAAAAAAGACAGGGGUGGCCAAAUACUGGUAAAGUUGCAAGACUUCCUUCCUUGGAGAUUUCAGAACACGAAUUGACAAGAUAUGGAGCAAGCUGAUGCGUGGUGAUUGCUUUAUUUAGAUGCCAUACAUGGGAGGCCUGUUUUUCACAAAUACUGUGCCACCGCAGGUUCAGGAUUCACUUGGGUUUGUCAUCGAUCAGGGUCUUCAUACCUGGUGCUUUCCAUCCAAAGCAGAGGCAUACACUAUUGAAGGAUGUUUUUGUAACUUAAGCUUUGAAAAUACUGUACCUUAUUUUCCCCACUUUCACAUUAGUUCUCUAGGACUGUGUCUCGCUAUUGGCAUUAGUGGGACUUUUCAACGUCUUCAGAAGAAAGAUAUCAGAAAGCUAUUUAGCAACACUGAAACAGGGCAAAAAGAUACCCUUCUUUUAAAACAAAACCCUUAGUAAUAGUGGCAGCUGUCUAAAUUAGAACAUGUGGGAACCACCGCAGUUCUUUAACAGUUCAUCACCUAUGGUAGUUCCUGUGAGUAACCACAGCAAGCAAGAAACUCUAAAACGGCACAUACUAAGGAAGCUGUGUUUCUCAGCUAGAAAUUGAUAACGCUGCUGAAGUGCUGUAGCAGGAAGGAAAACGUCUCUGAAAUUUUACAAAUAUUAAAAAUACAGCUGUUGGAAAGUGGAACUUAAUCAUGCUACCAAAUAAGAUGAGUUCUGCACCAAGCAGGACCUGUUAAAAGAUGUGCAGUCAAAGAAAGUAAAUACUACGUUUUGUUUC
ensembl:lncRNA